rnacentral:rRNA from 1 species
UGCAAGUCGAACGAUGAAGUGGAGCUUGCUCCACGAUUAGUGGCGAACGGGUGAGUAACACGUGAAUAACCUGCCCUCAAUUUCGGAAUAACCCAGGGAAACCUGGGCUAAUACCGGAUACGUAAACCUGUGGCGAUCACAUGGUUUUUGGAAAGUUUUUCGAUUGAGGAUGGAUUCGCGGCCUAUCAGGCUUGUUGGUGAGGUAAUGGCUCACCAAGGCGACGACGGGUAGCCGGCCUGAGAGGGUGAACGGCCACACUGGGACUGGGACACGGCCCAGACUCC